UGCAGUCGAACGAUGACUCUCUAGCUUGCUAGAGAUGAUUAGUGGCGGACGGGUGAGUAACAUUUAGGAAUCUGCCUAGUAGUGGGGGAUAGCUCGGGGAAACUCGAAUUAAUACCGCAUACGACCUACGGGUGAAAGGGGGCGCAAGCUCUUGCUAUUAGAUGAGCCUAAAUCAGAUUAGCUAGUUGGUGGGGUAAAGGCCCACCAAGGCGACGAUCUGUAACUGGUCUGAGAGGAUGAUCAGUCACACCGGAACUGAGACACGGUCCGGACUCCUACGGGAGGCAGCAGUGGGGAAUAUUGGACAAUGGGGGCAACCCUGAUCCAGCCAUGCCGCGUGUGUGAAGAAGGCCUUUUGGUUGUAAAGCACUUUAAGCAGGGAGGAGAGGCUAAUGGUUAAUACCCAUUAGAUUAGACGUUACCUGCAGAAUAAGCACCGGCUAACUCUGUGCCAGCAGCCGCGGUAAUACAGAGGGUGCGAGCGUUAAUCGGAAUUACUGGGCGUAAAGCGAGUGUAGGUGGCUCAUUAAGUCACAUGUGAAAUCCCCGGGCUUAACCUGGGAACUGCAUGUGAUACUGGUGGUGCUAGAAUAUGUGAGAGGGAAGUAGAAUUCCAGGUGUAGCGGUGAAAUGCGUAGAGAUCUGGAGGAAUACCGAUGGCGAAGGCAGCUUCCUGGCAUAAUAUUGACACUGAGAUUCGAAAGCGUGGGUAGCAAACAGGAUUAGAUACCCUGGUAGUCCACGCCGUAAACGAUGUCUACUAGCCGUUGGGGUCCUUGAGACUUUAGUGGCGCAGUUAACGCGAUAAGUAGACCGCCUG
rnacentral:rRNA from 2 species